GAACGAUGAAGCAAGUGUUCUGUUUAGUCAUUUUGGGGUUAUUCUGCAGCAAUUCAGUGUCAGCAAACGAAAAUGCAACAGCCGAAGAAGCAGUGGUGGUCAAUGGUAAAAAUAUGACUAAAGCAGAAGCAGCAGCACAAUCUGGACGAAUUACCAAUAGUGUUGUUGUGGAUAUUGCAAAAUAUGCUUUUGCACAAAGUUUACGCCUCGAUGGCCAAUACCGUUGCGGUGCUGUUGUCAUCUCAACAUCUCAUGCGCUGACUGGUGCUGCUGCUGUUUAUUAAUUUCGUAACAGUGUCCAAAGGGUAAAUUCUGACUCUUUACGGAGGUAGUACAUCUCCAACAUCCGGAGGCGUAUCAUUUCAAAUGAUCAGGACCGCUGUUCAUCCCAACUAUAAUCCAAAUGGAGGCGUAUCAGAUUUCAACAUUGCCGUUCAGACUGUGCCAACGAAAGCUUUCGGAGGAAAGCGAAAUAUUGCGCCGAUACCACUUGCAUCAGCCACUUGCAUGCUCCGUGUACGGAUGGGGCUCAACAAAUCUUAACCUCCUAGCGCCCGUCAAUGCAUUACGUGCUGCUGGCAUGGUCAUAACAUCGGAGGCAUCGUGUACUAGAGUUUGGGCUCAGGUUGGAGUUAAAAUUACUUCAAACAUGCUCUGUGCUAAGCUAUCGCCCUUAAUACACGAUGCGCUGUCUCAGAUUGCGCAUAUAUUCAUUUUAUCAAAACAUAUGUCAUUUCGCGUAGCCAAACCUAACGCAUAUAUUUAUCUGUCAAACGGAUCGGUUUAUCCGUUUAUCUGUCCGUGUUUAUCUGUGCGGUAUAUUUAUCUGUCAAAAAAAUUUAUAUAUCAAAGUGCAAAGUGCAAAGUGUGCUCACACUGUGCGAAGUGUGCGAAACGUCCGGACUG